rnacentral:rRNA from 1 species
AUACGUAGGUGACAAGCGUUAUCCGGAUUUACUGGGUGUAAAGGGCGUGUAGGCGGUUUAGCAAGUCAGAAGUGAAAUUCCCGGGCUUAACUUGGGCGCUGCUUCUGAAACUGCUUUACUUGAGUGCUGGAGAGGAUAGUGGAAUUCCUAGUGUAGCGGUAAAAUGCGCAGAUAUUAGGAGGAACACCGGUGGCGAAGGCGGGUAUCUGGACAGUAACUGACGCUGAGGCGCGAAAGCGUGGGGAGCAAACAGGAUUAGGUACCCUGGUAGUCCACACUGUAAACGAUGAAUACUAGGUGUGCGGGGACUGACCCCCUGCGUGCCGGCGUUAACACAAUAAGUAUUCCACCUGGGGAGUACGAUCGCAAGGUUGAAACUCAAAGGAAUUGACGGGG